UAAUUAAAGGUGUCGAACCCCCCCAGGGGUCCCGGCGGAAGCGGGAGCGCCGGAAGGAGCCGCGGCGAGGGCGGGGGGCGGAGCCUGAGCCCGAGGAGGAGGAGCUGAGCCGGCGGCUCCAGGCCCUGGCGGCCGCGGCCGAGGAGGAGGAGGAGGAGGAGGAGGAAGGUCCGGGAUGGGAAUUUGGGGGGUCCUGGGGGGGUUUAACCCCUCGGUGACCCCCAAAAUCUGACCCACAGCUCCAGCGGCGCGGAAAGGAGGGAGGAGGAGGAAGGGUGGGAACGUUUUCGCUGCUCUGAGCCAGGAGCAGAGCGAGGAAGAGGAGGAGGAAGACCAGGAGCAGAGCGAGGAAGAGGAGGAGGAAGAGGAAGAAAAGGAAAAAAAAACGUCCAAGGGGAAAAUUGCCAAGGAGGAAGAGGAGGCCGAGAGGAGGAAGAGGAAGAGCAGCAGGAACGACAAAUCCAAAGGGAGGCGAAAGGGAAAACCCGGCAGCGACGAUGAGGAGGCCGAAGGCUCCGAGGAGCCCAAAGGGGGGAAGAACAAAUUUGGAGCCCUGAGAGAUGAGGAGGAGGAGGAGGAAGAGGAGGAGGAGGAAGAGGAAGGAGCCCGGAAGGGAAGCGAGAACGUGAGUUUGGGGUGGGGGGAGGGGCCCCCGAGGGGAUUUUGGGGGAAUUUUGGGAAAUUUUGGGGAUUUUUGGGGAAAUUUUGGGAAAUUUUGGGGAUUUUUGGGAUAUUUUAGGUUUUUUUUGGGGGGUAUUUUAAAUUAUUAAAAAAAAU
rnacentral:lncRNA from 1 species